UGUCUGUCUGUCUUCAUAGGUACAGCUUCUCUGUCUGUCUUCAUAGGUACAGCUUCUCUGUCUGUCUUCAUAGGUACAGCUUCUCUGUCUGUCUGUCUUCAUAGGUACAGCUUCUCUGUCUGUCUGUCUUCAUAGGUACAGCUUCUCUGUCUGUCUGUCUUCAUAGGUACAGCUUCUCCGUCUGUCUGUCUUCUCUGUCUGUCUUCAUAGGUACAGCUUCUGUCUGUCUGUCUCUUCAUUAGGUACAGCUUCUCCCUCUGUCAAUCUGACUGUCUGUCUUCAUAGGUACAGCUUCUCUGUCUGUCUUCAUAGGUACAGCUUCUCCCUCUGUCUGACUGUCUGUCUUCAUAGGUACAGCUUCUCCCUCUGUCUGACUGUCUGUCUUCAUAGGUACAGCUUCUCCCUCUGUCUGUCUGACUGCCUUCAUAGGUACAAAAAGGUGUACAUAAAUUUUCUCUGGUCCUUUCCUUAGAUUAAACUAACUACUCUCCUUAUUUAUCUCUAGUUUAGAUUGAUUCUGAUCCCCUUCAGCCAAUGGUGGCAGCUGGUGUUACUGGGCUCCGACACAAUGAACAAGACAUUACAGACUGAUUUUACAAUGUACCAACAUUUAAACAUUAACAUGUAGUCUUGUUUGUCAUUGUAACCAGAGGGCUAAUAUUAAUACUAUGCAUGCCAGUCUCUCUUGGCUGAGAGUUGAGGAAAGACUGACUGCAUCACUUCUUGUUUUUAUAAAAACACAUUGUGUUGGAAAUUCCAAAUUGUUUGCUUAGUCAACUUACACCAGACAUGCCACCAGGGGUCUUUUCAGAGUCCCCAGGUCCAGAACAAAUGAGAAGUACAGUAUUAUACAGAGCCAUGACUGCAUGGAACUCUUCUGUCUUAUGGAGAGCAAGUGGACGGCAAAGCAACAAAUUAAGCAUCGGCACCUCGCCUCUCCCCAUGUGACCUAGAGCAAUACGCUCUUUUGUGGUUAUGAACAAUUUCUGGGCUCUUAUUUCUGCUCAUGAAACAUGAAACCAACACUUGUUGCGUUUUUAUUUUUUGUUCAGUAUCGAGAAGAAGAAAAAAAAAUGUACAGGACUUUGAGAGCGGCCCUGCGGUACACCACACUACACUACAUGUUUGGCAUUAGAGAAGGUUCUAUUAGAUUGCCAUAUCAUAGGUAUUUCUCAACAACCGGUUAGGGUCAAUAAUAUCAAAGGCAGUACAGUACAGCUCCUGUAGUCUUAUCCAUUUCUUUUAAGCAGUCAUCAGUAAUUCGUGUCAGUGCCGCCCGUACAUGUUGAGUGCCCUUCUAAUCACCUCUCUUCUACAUUAAUCUCAUUGCGUAUUUGGGGUAAAUAACAUUUUGGCUCAUUCAUGAAAUGCAUGUCAUUUCUCCAAUUGAACUUGAUGUAUAUGGAAGUAGUGUAACCGUGAUCUGUG